rnacentral:rRNA from 1 species
UACGAAGGGGACUAGCGUUGUUCGGAAUCACUGGGCGUAAAGCGCACGUAGGCGGAUUCGUAAGUCAGGGGUGAAAUCCCGGGGCUCAACCUCGGAACGGCCUUUGAUACUGCGGGUCUUGAGUCCGAUAGAGGUGGGUGGAAUUCCUAGUGUAGAGGUGAAAUUCGUAGAUAUUAGGAAGAACACCGGUGGCGAAGGCGGCCCACUGGAUCGGUACUGACGCUGAGGUGCGAAAGCGUGGGGAGCAAACAGG